UACGAAGGGGGCUAGCGUUGCUCGGAAUUACUGGGCGUAAAGGGCGCGUAGGCGGAUAGUUUAGUCAGAGGUAAAAGCCCAGGGCUCAACCUUGGAACUGCCUUUGAUACUGGCUAUCUUGAGUACGGGAGAGGUGUGUGGAACUCCGAGUGUAGAGGUGAAAUUCGUAGAUAUUCGGAAGGACACCAGUGGCGAAGGCGACACACUGGCCCGUUACUGACGCUGAGGCGCGAAAGCGUGGGGAGCAAACAGG
rnacentral:rRNA from 1 species